GAAGGGAAAAGGCCAAAGCAUCAGCGUAUGAAGACUACAAAGACAAUCCCGUGUACAGUUGUGAACGGCAUUCCUGCUAGGCCCCUCCUGCAGAUCAUCUGAAAUGAACCUCUCUUAUUGAUUUUUGUUGGCCUAGAGCCGGGAGGACUGCAUUCAGUUGACUUUCAGGGUGAGAAGAAAACAGUCCUGGUUGUUGUCAUUAUACACAUAUGGACCAGUGUGAUGGUGAAAUGAGAUGAGGCUCCGCAAUGGAACUGUAGCCACUGCGUUAGCAUUUAUCACUUCCUUCCUUACUUUGUCUUGGUAUACUACAUGGCAAAAUGGGAAAGAAAAACUGAUUGCUUAUCAACGAGAAUUCCUUGCUUUGAAAGAACGUCUUCGAAUAGCUGAACAUAGAAUCUCACAGCGCUCUUCUGAAUUAAAUACCAUUGUGCAACAGUUCAAGCGUGUAGGAGCAGAAACAAAUGGAAGUAAGGAUGCAUUGAAUAAGUUUUCAGAUAAUACCCUAAAGCUGUUAAAGGAGUUAACAAGCAAAAAAUCUCUUCAAGUGCCAAGUAUUUAUUAUCAUUUGCCUCAUUUAUUGAAAAAUGAAGGAAGUCUUCAACCUGCUGUGCAGAUUGGCAAUGGAAGAACAGGAGUUUCCAUAGUCAUGGGCAUUCCCACAGUGAAAAGAGAAGUUAAAUCUUACCUCAUAGAAACUCUUCAUUCCCUUAUUGAUAAUCUGUAUCCUGAAGAGAAGUUGGACUGUGUGAUAGUAGUCUUCAUAGGAGAGACAGAUAUUGAUUAUGUACAUGGUGUUGUAGCCAACCUGGAGAAAGAAUUUUCUAAAGAAAUCAGUUCUGGCUUGGUGGAAGUCAUAUCACCCCCUGAAAGCUACUAUCCGGACUUGACAAACCUAAAGGAGACAUUUGGAGACUCCAAAGAAAGAGUAAGAUGGAGAACAAAGCAAAACCUAGAUUACUGUUUUCUAAUGAUGUAUGCUCAAGAAAAGGGCAUAUAUUACAUUCAGCUUGAAGAUGAUAUUAUUGUCAAACAAAAUUAUUUUAAUACCAUAAAAAAUUUUGCACUUCAACUUUCUUCUGAGGAAUGGAUGAUUCUAGAGUUUUCCCAGCUGGGCUUCAUUGGUAAAAUGUUUCAAGCGCCGGAUCUUACUCUGAUUGUAGAAUUCAUAUUCAUGUUUUACAAGGAGAAACCCAUUGAUUGGCUCCUGGACCAUAUUCUCUGGGUGAAAGUCUGCAACCCUGAAAAAGAUGCAAAACACUGUGAUAGACAGAAAGCAAAUCUGCGAAUUCGCUUCAGACCCUCCCUUUUCCAACAUGUUGGUCUGCACUCAUCACUAUCAGGAAAAAUCCAAAAACUCACGGAUAAAGAUUACAUGAAACCGUUACUUCUUAAAAUCCAUGUAAACCCACCUGCAGAGGUGUCUACUUCCUUGAAGGUCUACCAAGGGCAUACGCUGGAGAAGACUUACAUGGGAGAGGAUUUCUUCUGGGCUAUCACGCCGAUAGCUGGAGACUACAUCUUGUUUAAAUUUGAUAAACCAGUCAAUGUAGAAAGUUAUUUGUUCCAUAGCGGCAACCAAGAACAUCCUGGAGACAUUCUGCUAAACACAACUGUGGAAGUUUUGCCUUUUAAGAGUGAAGGUUUGGAAAUAAGCAAAGAAACCAAAGACAAACGAUUGGAAGAUGGCUAUUUCAGAAUAGGAAAAUUUGAGAAUGGUGUUGCGGAAGGAAUGGUGGAUCCAAGUCUCAAUCCCAUUUCAGCCUUUCGACUUUCAGUUAUUCAGAAUUCUGCUGUUUGGGCCAUUCUUAAUGAGAAGCAGAGUUUCCUCCGGCUGGUAGCAGAAGUCAGAGACAAAGCAGAAGGACCCCAGGCACCAUUGCUGUUUUAAGCAGAAGGACCCCAGGCACCAUUGCUGUUUUAAGAUUUGCUGCUAUAAUUGAAAACCUGAUAACUGGUCCUGUUGAUUGUGCCUUUCAUCACUGUUUUUCUGUGCCACGACCGUUCAUGCGUAUUUGAAAUAAAGAAGUUUAAAAAGCCAUGUUGAAUUCAAGAUUCCUUCUAAUAAAAACAGAGCCUCCCUGGUGGCUGAUCUGAGAACAGACUGGAGAGACAACACUGGAAGCAGAGGCCAGUUAGAAGGCUACUGCAAGGAAGAGAUGAGCAGAGGGACUGGUGGCAGUGGAGGUGCUAAGAUGUGGCACACAUGAUACUCGGAAGGUAGAGCCCCUGACAUGAUUGGAUGUGCAGUAUGAGAAAAAAAGACUCAAGGAUGACUGAGAGAUUUCCGCCUUGAACAAAUGGAAGAUGGAGCCGCCUUUAAUUGAGGUGGGGCUGGCUGUGAGAAGAGUGGUUUUUGAGGUGGGAAGGAGUGUGCGGAAGUUUGAAUUUGGACCUGUUAUGUUGAAGAGGCCAACGAGUAUGGAGUAAGAAGUUGUAUACAAUGCCUACAGUUUAGAGGACAAGUCCAAACUAGAUAUAUAAACUCAUCAGUCUGUAGAUGAUACUAAUAUUUAAAGCCAUGGGCCUGAAUCAUGUCACCAAAAAAAUGUGGAUGAUGAACAGACCCAAGGCCCAAGACCCCUAUGAAGAGGAGGAUGAAAUAGUAAGAAGCAGUUAGGAAGAGUGACACAUCCAGCCUUAAGAACAAUUAUUCAAGCGUAUGUCACUGUUCUACAACAUGGCCUACUAGUUUUUCGGUUCAAUGAUGAAUAAAAAGUAAAAUAUCCAAGUAACAGAAAAGUAGAUUUUCAGUGUACUUUUUAAUGUAUUACUUCAUUUCAUCUCAAGGAUAUAAUUAAGAAUAUACUAUUCUGACACUGGGGAUAAAAAUGGAAAAUAAACAGAUGAAAAACAUGGUACAAUACUAAUGGUAACAGUUCCUGCAUUUAGUUAUCUGAAAAUGCCAAAACAAUAACUGAACAAACUAGAGCUUACCAAGACAGUUUCCUUUUUAGCCAAGAAUGUGUGCCAUUCAAAUUGUAUGGAAUCAAUAUGUAGCUCACUCCCCAAGAGCACCCUUUAUGAAAGUAGACGUUCUCUGCUGCCCCUAUUCCCCUGCUUAUCCCAAAUGGGCACUUUCCAAGCUUCUGGCCUCAGUGAGAGUCUUUCCUCUAGAAGACAGAUGUGCCUUCUGAGAGCACUCCAAGGCACUGUGGUUUUCCCCUCCCAGCUCCAUAUUAACGCCAGUCAGAGGCUCACCAUGGCCCAGACUCUUGCCUCCAGGUCUACAGUCAUCAACCUCAGUGCUACUGACCUUCUUUUCCACUCUUCACCAAGUUCCCUGAACUCAACAGGCCAUCAAGGGCUGCUUCAUCUGCACCUGCUGCUUCCUCAGUCCUCCAAGGCCAAACCUUGCAGGCCAUCCCAAAGGAGCCUCCCACCUACUCCCCCUUCCUGAUCCUCCCUCAUACCCUGUAAUCUCAGGAAGCUCUUGAAUCCAUCUCUCCUCUCUAUUCCCAUCACCACCAUACUAUCUGGGCCUCCUCUACUCCUACGCAGACCUCUGCGAGUGUAUCCAGCCUUGCCCACUCACUACUCCAACUUUUGCCUCCUCCACUGCCAUGGAAAAGAUUUUUCCUAAAGUUUGACAUUAUUUCCUUAAAGUUGGACAUUAUUUCCUUACUUCAAAGCCUCAAACCUCCCCACCUCCUUCUGCCCCCAACCCAAACAUGCAGUCUAUGAGAUAAAGUCCAAUUUUCUUCCUGAAUGGCAUUAAGGCCAAUUUCUGUAGUCACAUCUCUUCCCCAGUCACUCGGUGUCGCCCUGUGCUCCCAGACCUAGCGUGCCGUUCCACACCUCUAUGCCUCUGCACUUGCAAUUCCUGGGGCCAGGAGUCAACUAUUCCCCAUCUCCACAAACCACCUCCUUAUGCUGGCUUCAGCAGCACCUCUGUGAUGGUCAUCACUACAUGCAGUCAUUUCUCUUUCUAAGUUGCUCACACAACAUAGGUUCUCAAAACUACGCUGAAUCCCUUUCUGUUUAAUUCGAACUAUGAUACAGACUCACAUGAAAGGUGCUAAUCUCCAGGUUGAUUUGGUUUCUGUGGCUGAUAUGGUUUGGCUGUGUCCCCAACCCAAAAUCUCAUCUUGAACAGUAAUCUCCGAAAUUCCCAUAUAUCAAGGGUGGGGCCAGAUGGACGUAACUUCCCCCAUGCUGUUCUCGUGAUAGUCAGUGAGUCUCACAAGAUCCGAUGGUUUUAUAAGCAUUUGGCAUUUCCCUCACUUGUACUCACUCCAUCCUGCCACCUUGUGAGGAAGGUGGCUACUUCUCCUUUGCCUUCUGCCAUGAUUGUAAGUUUCCUGAGACCUCCCUAGCAAUGCAGAACUGUGAGUCAAUUAAACCUCUUUCCUUUAUAAAUUACCCAGUCUCAGAUACUUCUUUAUAGCAGCGCUGAUAACAGACUAACACAGUGGCCUCCAGAAUUACUGUAUUCAUGGCAGAAUACUUAUUAUGAAUGAA